rnacentral:rRNA from 1 species
ACGGAGGAUCCGAGCGUUAUCCGGAUUUAUUGGGUUUAAAGGGUGCGUAGGUGGUUUGAUAAGUCAGCGGUGAAAGUUUGCAGCUUAACUGUAAAAAUGCCGUUGAAACUGUCGGACUUGAGUGUAAAUGAGGUAGGCGGAAUGCGUGGCGUAGCGGUGAAAUACAUAGAUAUCACGCCGGAAGCCGAUUGCGAAGGCAGCUUACUAAGCUACAACUGACACUGAAGCACGUAAGCGUGUGGAUCAUACAG